GCAGAAGAGUUCUAAGGGAACUUAACGACAUAAUUACAACUUCCGGAAUCCUUUGUUGAAGACUAUUAUAGAUCAUUAUGUUUACUAUUACUUUCUUCGCAUGAAAAUGUAAACCCCCUGAGAGCAAGGACUCUGUUUUUGACUCUGCUCCAGUCCCCAGCACUUAAAAAAGGUCCUGGCGCACAAUAGGCAUACACUAUGUAUUUGUUGAAUGAAUAACUCAUUUUGCAAGGAUCACUUAUGGUUGCCAUGAAAAUAAUAGAUUGGAAUUCAGUGAGACUAGAAGCAGAGAGUCCAGGUGGGGACCACUGAGUUCUUCAAAUGAGAGAUGAAGAUGAUGCAAACCUAUCACAGGGUGAUGGAGAGAAGUGAACAGAUUUUGAAAGGAUGAAAAUGCAACCUGACUCUCCCAGAACCCAGGAAGUUAAUAAGAAGCUCUAAAUGCCCUCGAAUUCCAGACCCUGUUCCCUAUAGGUAAAAGAUCAUACUUUUUGCUGUUUUAGGGCUUGCUUUCUGCUCUGUACAAAACUUUGUGGAAGGGGAAAAACAGGCCCCUGAGUAUGUGCCUCUAUGCUUGAAACUUCUUGAAACUGCUCCUAACUGCUUGUUUGGCUUCUGUAAACCUGCUUGCAUAAGAUAAAAAGAGGAGAAGUCAAUUGCCUAACGGACCCCAGUAAGAUCGGGCGUGCCACAAAAUGUUGAAAAUCCUGAUAAAUAUAUCUUGGUGACAAUAUGUCUCCCCCACCCAGAGACAGGCACAAACAUGUAACUCCAGAACAACUUAAAAUUAAUUGGUCCACAAAGCGCGGGCUCUCGAAGUUUUGAAUUGACUGGUUUGCGAUAUUUUAAAAAUGAUUAGUUUGUAAAAGCGCGGGCUUUGUUGUGAACCCCAUAAAAGCUGUCCCGACUCCACACUCGGGCCGCAGUCCUCUACCCCUGCGUGGCGUACGACUGUGGGCCCCAGCGCGCUCGGAAUAAAAAUCCUCUUGCUGUUUGCAUCAAGACCGCUUCUCGUGAGUGAUUUGGGGUGUCGCCUCUUCCGAGUCAGGACGAGAGGGAUUUUAACUCGACUGGCCUUUCAGUUUGGUGCGUUGGCCGGGAAACCCGCGACUACCCCUCACACCCGAGAACCGACUUGGAGCCUACUUGGGAUGAUUGUCAACAGCUGCUGCAGACACUCUUCACAACCGAGGAGCGAGAGAGAAUUCUGUUAGAGGCUAGAAAAAAUGUUCCUGGGGCCGACGGGCGACCCACGC
ensembl:lncRNA